rnacentral:lncRNA from 1 species
CGCCGGUUGGGCCGACUGGGCACGACGGUGACCGGGCUGGGCCUGAGCGAGAAGCCCAAUCGAGGAGCAAAGUUUGGCUGGGCCUGGAUCCAGCAUUCCGCACGAGGAAUAUUUCCGCUCCCCGUCCGCUCGGCGUCGACUCCGAGUCUCCGACUCGUCGUGAGUUCGCCCGCCGCCGCCGCCGCCGCCGCCGUCUCCGUCUCCGCCGCCGCCUCCGCCUGCGCGGAUCCCCAUCCAUCCCGCGAGCGAGCAGGGGCGCCGUCGUUCGUCCUGCCCUCUUCCGCCGCAUCCCGAUCCGCCCCCUGA